CACCAGUACAUGCCACCCUCAGCCUAGCCCUGGUCUGGAUGUCACAGGCCACUUGCCCAUCCUGUCUUGCCAGUUUGCAUCCCUCUCCCAGUCCCUGAAUACUCUUACAUGGACACUAACCAUACCACUUCCUUUGACAUUUAACCAUUCCUUUUAUUGGUAAGAGAGAGGAGACAGGAGAGAGAUCUCCCCAAUUACAGCAUGAGCCACCUGAAGACAUCAUUGGCACUGCAUCCUUCUGUCCAAUUCCUCUGGGGUCAUUGAGACCCAGACCCCCUCUCAUAGGCUUGCUUCCUCCUUAUCUCUAAGGAAGGUGGUCAUGAACAGCCCCAGCCCCAUCAGCAUGCAGGGACCUGCAGUUUUGAUGCCCUAGAUGAGUCUGGGGUGAGUUUUGAUCUUGUAGCCUUGGAAUCGCAAACAGACUCCAUCUGUUUAAGUUAUAUAUUUGGCCUUUCCAUCCUGCCCUUUCUACCCCGUCUGCUGUGCUGGCUGAAGAGGUCCUUCUCCCAUCAGGAACUGAAUGUCCCCAAAAACCUCAGCCCACUGGGUUGGUGCUCUGGAGCUCCACCUUGGCUAGGGUGCUACCACCAAGGGGUCACCUACUCGUAAGUGCUAUGCCCUGCUCCAAAGACACAAACCCUUGGUCAUGGUCACCUGCCCAAACCAUGCGAACCCUCCAUAUGCGUUUGAGGUGCUGGCCUUUGCUAUGGAUGCAGGUUCCUCAGCCCCUCGCUCUUUGAACUCUGGCUCCCUCCCCUUUCCAUCAGGGAAGGGGCUCCAGUCUCAGUAUAUCUGCUCACCUGCUGAGCUCACUGGAUUAUGAGUGGUGUGUAAGAAGAUCCUAAAAACCUACUUUGCAGGGGCAUUCUGGCUCCAGUUAAGACAAGGGUG
rnacentral:lncRNA from 10 species